rnacentral:lncRNA from 1 species
AGAAGAUCUGGAGCAGCUCCAGGCACUGCUAAUUGGCACGUGACAGAGUGCCUGCCACGCGUUGGUCAAUACCAAUUAGCAUACUGAUUAAAUGAACGAGUGUCUUGGCAGCAGUUAUCCCAUUACCUUAACAAGUGCAGCACGGAGAGGCACCGGAGCCUGUGGAGCAGCAGGAGCUGCCCUGGGAUAAGGGAAAGGACUUUUGGAGCAAGUCCUGGAGCAAGCCAUGAAGCACGAGACCAUCUCAGGACCUCCCACGCCCUUAUCUCCCUGCAUGCACAUCCAUCAUCUCCAGUUGUUGAGACUCUGAGAUGGUUAUUUGGCUUUUGGAGUGCCGAACCCUUCGCUUAUCUCCUUCCUGCUUCUGUUCUCCACACUUCCAGGCAACGUGGUGAGGAGACCCGCAUUUCCCUGAGAACAAAAGUUCGGGCUCCUGAGCUACUUAUCUGGAGCAAGCUGCUGUAAAUCUCUUGUUUUGACUGAUUCCAGCUUUAUUUGGGCAGGCAGAGCCGAGUGCCUGCAGCCUGGGUGGUUCCUGGAGCAGAACUUGGUCAGUUUUGGAGACCUCUGAGGGCUCCUCUGAGAGCCUGCAGAGAACUUUAUCCCUUCCCACUGUCUAGCACUGCUGGAGCUCAUCCAUCCAUCCUCAGUGGGCUGCCCUUGUCCCUUCCUUGGGUACUGAUACAUCCCAAAGGAUUCUCCCUAAGUGUGCAGAAUGUCACUGUCAUAUUUCCUGAAAAAUCCUCUUUGCCCAGGAUUCUUCUCCUGGGAAGCUGAGAAACCUCAGAGAAAAAUUAAAACAAUAAUUAUCUCAUUUGCUUCUCCUGUGUUUUGCUGCUUUGGAACGUGUUUGGAGAUUGUUUAUCCAACAUGUGGUUGUUCAGUUGGUUUCGUGUGAAUUGGUUUUACUUAAUGAGCAAUCAGGGUCUGGCUGUGUCAGGAAAGGGUCACAAGUUUUCGUUAUUAUCAUUCUUUCUAGCCUUCUGUCUGUAUCCUUUCUGUAUUCUUUGGUGUAGUUUAGUACAGCUAUAGUAUAAUUAUAAUAUACUAUACUAUACUAUAUUAUAAUAAUAUAUAAUAUAAUAUACUAUAAUAAUAUAUACUAUACUACAA